ensembl:lncRNA
AGGGAGAGGAUAGAUGGAGAGGAGAUGAUAGAGGGAGAGGAUAGAGGGAUAGAGGGAUAGGAGAUGAUAGAGUGAUAGGAGAUAGAGGGAGAGGAUAUAGGGAUUGACGGAUAGGAGAUGAUAGAGGGAUAGGAGAGGAUAGAGGGAGAGGAUAGAGGGAUAGAGGGAUAGGAGAUGAUAGAGGGAGAGGAUAGAGGGAUAGGAGAUGAUAGAGGGAGAGGAUAGGAGAUGAUAGAGGGAUAGGAGAUGAUAGAGGGAGAGGAUAGAGGGAUAGAGGGAUAGGAGAUGAUAGAGGGAGAGGAUAGAGGGAUAGGAGAUGAUAGAGGGAGAGGAUAGGAGAUGAUAGAGGGAGAGGAGAUGAUAGAGGGAUAUGAGAGGAUAGAGGGAGAGAAUAGUGGGGUAGGAGAUGAUAGAGGGAUAGGAGAUGACAGAGGGAGAGGAUUUAGGGAGAGGAGAUUGUAGAGGGAGAGGAUAGAGGGAUAGGAGAUGAUAGAGGGAGAGAAUAGUGGGAUGUGAGACAUGGACAAGGACAAUGUCAGGGACAGAAACACGUGGAUCAGUUGAAAGAAAUGUCUCAAACUAGACUGCUACCAAGGGACCAUCGUAAAAAUCUUCACCUCUCCUCUCUACCGCUCUUCACCUCUCCUUCUCCCCCUCUCUCUCCUUUCCUCCCCCGAUCCAUCUCCUAUCUUCCUUUGCCCCUGCUGUGGGGUAAUGUUUUGCUAAAUGUUUUAGUAUGAGUAUGGGGGACUGUGAGAACCCUAAAAUCACCCCUCUUCUCCUGGAUGUGUUCCCAGUGCUUUGAAAGAGGUCAAAGGUCAUACCUAACUGAUCCCGGACUAUGGUAGAAACCAGAAAAAAAGUAUGGUAGACACCAGGAGCCAGGAAGGGUAGACACCAGGAGUCAGGUAUGAUGACACCAGAAGCCAGGUAGGGGAGACACCAGGAGUCAGGUAUGAUGACACCAGAAGCCAGGUAUGAUGAAACCAGAAGCCAGGUAUGAUGACACCAGGAGCCAGGAAGGGUAAAAAAUAAGGGGCCAGGAAGGGUAGACACCAGGAGCCAGGAAGGGUAGACACCAGGAGUCAGGAAGGAUAGACACCAGGAGCCAGGAAGGGUGGACACCAGGAGCCAGGUAGGGUAGACACCAGGAGCCAGGUAGGGUAGACACCAGGAUCCAGGUAGGGUAGACACCAGAAGCCAGGUAUGGUAGACACCAGAAGCCAGGUAUGGUAGACACCAGAAGACAGGUAUGGUAGACACCAGAAGACAGGUAUGGUAUACACCAAAAGACAGAUAUGGUAGACACCAGAAGACAGGAAUUGUAGACACCAGAAGACAGGUAUGGUAGACACCAGAAGAGAGGUAUUGUAGACACCAGAAGCCAGGUAUGGUAGACACCAGAAGCCAGGUAUGGUAGACACCAGAAGACAGGUAGACACCAGAAGACAGGUAUGGUAGACACCAGAAGAGAGGUAUGGUAUACACCAAAAGACAGGUAGACACCAGAAGACAGGAAUGGUAGACACCAGAAGACAGGUAUUGUAGAUGGAGGCCUGAUCUAAUGAAAUGUCAUGGAGGCCUGAUCUAUAGAACUGACAUGGAGGCCCGAUCUAAUGAACUGACAUGGAGGCCUGAUCUAUAGAACUGACAUGGAGGCCUGAUCUAAUGAACUGACAUGGAGGCCUGAUCUAAUGAACUGACAUGGAGGCCUGAUCUAUAGAACUGACAUGGAGGCCUGAUCUAAUGAACUGACAUGGAGGCCUGAUCUAUAGAACUGACAUGGAGGCCUGAUCUAAUGAACUGACAUGGAGGCCUGAUCUAUAGAACUGACAUGGAGGCCUGAUCUAUAGAACUGACAUGGAGGCCUGAUCUAUAGAACUGACAUGGAGGCCCGAUCUAUAGAACUGACAUGGAGGCCUGAUCUAUAGAACUGACAUGGAGGCCUGCUCUAAUGUGCUGACAUGGAGGCCUGAUCUAAUGAACUGAUAUGGAGGCCUGAUCUAAUGAACUGACAUGGAGGCCUGAUCUAAUGAACUGUCAUGGAGGCCUGAUCUAAUGAACUGACAUGGAGGCCUGAUCUAAUGAACUGACAUGGAGGCCUGAUCUAUAGAACUGACAUGGAGGCCUGAUCUAAUGAACUGACAUGGAGGCCUGAUCUAAUGAACUGACAUGGAGGCAGAGACCUUUUCUUUUCAGAACUUCCCUCCAUUGAUCUGCCCCGUUGGCAGUGUAGUCUGGUACGUUGCCUCCCCUGCGCCGAGGUGGCGCCGUCGCCCACAAAAUCAAACAUGGCUGCCAGUGCUUGGUGUUGUCACUCUCAGUGGCAUUGAGCGGGUGCCAGCGGCGGGCAUUCCUUCACCGGAGUUAGCAUUCAGUCUGCAUAGGGCAAGUCAAGCAGGCUUUAGUGUCCCACCCAACCAGAGUCACCACUCUGUGGUGGGGGAUACAAAUGUGGCGAGUCAAUGAAAGUCUCUCUCUCUCACACACACACACACACACACUCAGACAGUCAGACACACACACACACACACUCUCACACACACACACACACACACACACAAUCACUUAGUUAGAAAGUACCAUUCAGGGACACAUCUAGUGAGUUAGACAGGGGCUUUCAAAGAAAUACAUUUAGAAAGAGUCACAUGGUUGCACAUCCACAGAAUGGAGGAACGUGCCCUCAUUCCCCAAUGGCAUGCCAACUUCUCUAUUAGUGUCUGAGCUUUUCCAUGUGAUUUGUGUUCACCAGAAUUAAAUGACAUCAUGUUCAUCACCAUCCGAUGACAUCAUGUUCACCACUAUCCGAUGACGUCGUGUUCACCAUUAUUCGAUGACGUCAUACCGACAUUAUAAGAUUGCAACUGUAAAAAAGUCAAACACCUGAGCUGAUGCACACCCCAAAAUGUGAUGCGGACUAACGGACAAUAAACUGCUGAAAAAAGAAAGAAAGCAACCACGAUGCGUUGGUUAUUAAGUUCAUCAAUUGGUUAUGAAGCAUGAACACGACCUUGUGCCGUUUCAGUGAGCUGUCAUUACAUGGAGAGUCAUCCAAUGUUUAAAAUGAAAUAUCGUUGGACUGUUCAUCCUAACAUUCACUAAAACAUUGUGCACAUGUUCUAAUAGCACAAAACUCUCCAUUUGUGGUGAUGAUUAUAGAAUAUUUAUAUAAAACCAUUUGCCCGAUGUUGCAAAUACAUUCCUGUAAUAUGUUUAAUCUGUUCUUUGAAAGUUCCCAGAAUGUUUCUUUAGUUGGGUUAACAUUGUGGGGUCAAGAAAGGAGAUAUAUAUUCACAAAACACAAAAUCUGUCCAGGUGUGUAGACAUUCAGAUAAUAUUUGUAUUAGGGUGAACAGAACGUUCCUUUGAUUCCUUACUCCCCUACUCCACCACUACCACAUAUCUACAACACACUGUGUGUCCUCAGGUCCCCUACUCCACCACUACCACAUAUCUACAACACACUGUGUGCCCUCAGGCCCCUACUCCACCACUACCACAUAUCUAUAACACACUGUGUGCCCUCUGGCCCCUCCUCCACCACUACCACAUAUCUACAACACACUGUGUGCCCUCUGGCCCCUCCUCCACCACUACCACAUAUCUACACAACACACUGUGUGUCCUCAGGCCCCUCCUCCACCACUACCACCAUAUCUACAACACACUGUGUGUCCUCAGGCCCCUCCUCCACCACUACCACAUAUCUACAACACACUGUGUGUCCUCAGGCCCCUCCUCCACUACUACCACAUAUCUACAACACACUGUGUGCCCUCAGGCCCCUCCUCCACUACUACCACAUAUCUACAACACACUGUGUGUCCUCAGGCCCCUCCUCCACCACUACCACAUAUCUACAACACACUGUGUGCCCUCAGGCCCCUCCUCCACCACUACCACAUAUCUACAACACACUGUGUGCUCUCAGGCCCCUCCUCCACCUAGAAAGCAGCAUGGAAUACAUCCCCAUUAUGUGAUAUAGUCGUUUUGAGCGAUUAAACAAAAUGUGGUUUAUUAUUAUUAUUAUUUUUUUUAUUAAUUAAAGAACUAACGGAUCAACAUCGGUUUAAUUAUUUAAAUUCCAUUUCGUUCUGUUUUUUUCCUCCUGUGAUCUCAAUGUGCACAUUGCACGGUUUCUUUAAAGAUGAAGCAGAUCAAGCCCGAACUGAGAGAUGUAGUAAGGAGUUGCAGUUUCCAACAGGCCAAAAUUCUACAUAGUUUAUCAGAUGUAGUAGGGAGUUGUAGUUUCCAACAGGCCAGCAUUCUACAUAGUUUAUCAGAUGUAGUAGGGAGUUGUAGUUUCCAACAGGCCAGCAUUCUACAUAGUUUAACAGAUGUAGUAG